rnacentral:tRNA from 1 species
AGGAUUGUAAUUUAAUUAAAAUACUUGAUUUGCAUUCAAAAUAUACUAAUAUUUAGUCUAUCUUA